rnacentral:misc_RNA from 1 species
AGCAUUAUCAGUUGGCUCUCCAUCCCCGUAAGUUGCCACCAUGAAAAAUGCAAGUGUCUCUUUCUUCAGUUUCUCCUCGUAAAUAUCAUCAUCGGCAGCAUAAUCAUCCAUGUCCACAACUUUCACAACUGCCUUCUCAUAUCUUGCUUUUAUCUCCUCUGAUAAAGCCUUGGCAAAACCCUCAGCAGUACCAGUUUGAGUACCGAAAAAUACGGUGACCUUAACUUUUCCAGGUUCUAGCUCAGUCUCCUCCUCCGGCUCCACAUGUAAGGACUUGGGGAACACCACAGGCUUCACUUCUUUACUUCGAUCACUUGAUCUCUUCAAGAAGAACACUACUAAUCCAACGAUGACCGCGAACGACGUCGUAAGUAGCACCAACACCGUAUCACUCCCCAACGACACUCCCAAUGCCGAUUCAAUCGAUCUCAACAACUCCAAACUCGACUCCAUUUCCUAUACCUCUCUGAUACAAACACGAAAAAGUAGUUGUAUAUAAGUAGAUAAGUAGUUGUUGACUGUUUGGUAGUUGAGAUUUUGAUACACAAACAGCCAAACCACGGUGUUAACAGUACGGUUUUGGAGCGAAGGAGGAGGACGGCGGCUGAUCGGAGAAAGACGGCGGAGCAGACGGAGGAGGAAGGAGGAGAUUCCGGUCUGCUACUGCUGCCGCUGUGGUGGUGAGUUUAUUGUGUGUAAGAUUUUGACUAGAAGCUAUCUUGGGCCCUGUUAAGGCUCUGUUUGGAUUGAUU